GAAAGAGGCAUAAAGCAAUAAGGACUGCUAACCCUUACCUCCACGGUUAAACUCCGUGGCUCAUUCA
rnacentral:tRNA from 1 species